rnacentral:rRNA from 1 species
UACGUAGGGUGCGAGCGUUAUUCGGAAUUACUGGGCGUAAAGGGCGCGUAGGCGGCCUGCUAAGUCGAACGUGAAAUCCCCGGGCUCAACCCGGGAACUGCGUCCGAGACUGGCGGGCUUGAAGCCGGGAGAGGGAUGCGGAAUUCCAGGUGUAGCGGUGAAAUGCGUAGAUAUCUGGAGGAACACCGGUGGCGAAGGCGGCAUCCUGGACCGGCAUUGACGCUGAGGCGCGAAAGCCAGGGGAGCAAACGGG